rnacentral:rRNA from 1 species
CACGUAGGGACCAAGCGUUGUUCGGAUUUACUGGGCGUAAAGGGCGCGUAGGCGGCUUAACAAGUCACUUGUGAAAUCUCCGGGCUUAACUCGGAACGGCCAAGUGAAACUGUCAAGCUAGAGUGCAGAAGGGGCAAUCGGAAUUCUUGGUGUAGCGGUGAAAUGCGUAGAUAUCAAGAGGAACACCUGAGGUGAAGACGGGUUGCUGGGCUGACACUGACGCUGAGGCGCGAAAGCCAGGGGAGCAAACGGG